GCCGGGCGCGGUGGCUCAAGCCUGUAAUCCCAGCACUUUGGGAGGCCGAGACGGGCGGAUCACGAGGUCAGGAGAUCGAGACCAUACUGGCAAAAACGGUGAAUCCCCGUCUCUACUAAAAAAAAAUACAAAAAAACUAGCCGGGCGAGGUGGCCUGUAGUCCCAGCUACUCGGGAGNNNNNNNNNNCUCCCGAGUAGCUGGGACUACAGGCCACCUCGCCCGGCUAGUUUUUUUGUAUUUUUUUUUAGUAGAGACGGGGAUUCACCGUUUUAGCCAGGAUGGUCUUGAUCUCCUGACCUCGUGAUCCACCCAUCUCGGC
rnacentral:SRP_RNA from 1 species